rnacentral:rRNA from 1 species
AAAAAGUAUAGUCAUUUGUUAUUAUUAAUAUUAAUUUAUUUAAAAGUUUUUAUUUUUAAUUUUAGUUUAUUUAUGUAAAAAUUUAAUUGUAUAGUUUAGGAAUAGUUAAUAGUAAUUUAUAAUUUUGAUUAGAUUAUUUUGUUAAUGCUAUUAUAUGGGUGUGGAAAGUUAUGUAAAAUUAAUUACAAAUUCAAAUAAUAAAUAGAAUGUACUCAUAGGUCAGAAAUGGAUGCCAGCCGUUGCGGUAAUUUCUAUGCUUUUAAAUAUUAUACAAUAAUAUUUAUGUUAUUGUUGCUAGUAUAUAUAACAAACAAAAGUAUACAACUAAUAUUUUUUGUUUUUAUAUACCUGUAGGUAUACGCAAAUAGUGAAUUAUAGUAAUUAUUUAUUUUAUUAGUAUUUAUUUAUUCAAAUAUAUAUAUAAGCGGAAUUCUAUUAUUUUGAUAUCAUGAUAAGGACAAGGAAUGAAUGUGAAAAUAUUUUAAUCAAAAAUAAUAUAUUAUAUGAAGUGUGGAAUAUUAGUUAAAAAAAUAAUAUAUAUAGGUAUUGUUGCCCACCAAUUUUUACAAUGAAAAUAACGUGCAGUAAUUAAAUUAUUUAUAAAAAUAAUUUAGAUACAAUU